rnacentral:rRNA from 1 species
GUGACCUCAAAUCAGGUAGGACUACCCGCUGAACUUAGCAUAUCAUAAGCGGAGAAAGAACUAACAG